AUUGAACGCUGGCGGCAGGCCUAACACAUGCAAGUCGAGCGAGCGGCGGACGGGUGAGUAAUGUCUGGGAAACUGCCUGAUGGAGGGGGAUAACUACUGGAAACGGUAGCUAAUACCGCAUACCAUCAGAUGUGCCCAGAUGGGAUUAGAUAGUAGGUGGGGUAACGGCUCACCUAGGCGACGAUCCCUCGCUGGUCUGAGAGGAUGACCAGCCACCUUGGACCUGAGACACGGUCAAGAUUCGUACGGUAGGCAGCAGUGGUGAAUAUUGCACAAUGGGCGCAAGCCUGAGGCAGACAUGCGGCGUGUGUGAAGAAGGCCUUCUGGUUGUAAAGCACUUUCAUCGGGGAGGCGUUACCCGCAGAAGAAGCACCGGCUAACUCCGUGCCAGCAGCCGCGGUAAUAC
rnacentral:rRNA from 1 species